CCAUGCAGUUCGAGCGAGAAGCUCAUGAUUGANACUUCGGUCGAAAGAAUGAGCGGAAAGCGGNGGACGGGUUGAGCUAACGCGAUGGGCAACCUGCCUCACACAGAGGGAUAGCCAUUGGAAACGAUGAUUAAAACCUCAUAAUGCAUUUUAUCCACAUGGAUAGAAUGCCAAAGAUUUAUCGGUGUGAGAUGGGCCCGCGUCUGAUUAGUUAGUUGGUGAGGUAACGGCUCACCAAGGCAGCGAUCAGUAGCCGACCUGAGAGGGUGAUCGGCCACAUUGGAACUGAGACACGGUCCAAACUCAUACGGGAGGCAGCAGUGGGGAAUAUUGCACAAUGGGCGAAAGCCUGAUGCAGCAACGCCGCGUGAGCGAUGAAGGCCUUCGGGUCGUAAAGCUCUGUCCUUGGGGAAGAAAAAAAUGACGGUACCCUUGGAGGAAGCCCCGGCUAACUACGUGCCAGCAGCCGCGGUAAUACGUAAGGGGCGNAGCNGUUAUCCGGAAUUUAUUGGGGCGUUAAAGAGUGCGUAGGUGGUUACCUAAGCGCAGGGUUUAAGGCAAUGGCUCAACCCAUUGUAUGCCUUGCGAAANUGGGCUUACUUGAGUGCAGGAGAGGAAAGCGGAAUUCCUAGUGUAGCGGUGAAAUGCGUAGAUAUUAGGGAGGAACACCAGUGGCGAAGGCGGCUUUCUGGACUGUAACUGACACUGAGGCACGAAAGCGUGGGGAGCAAACAGGAUUAGAUACCCUGGUAGUNCACGCCGUAAACGAUGAGCACUAGGUGUCGGGGUCGCAAGACUUCGGUGCCCGCAGUUAACGCAUUAAGUGCUCCGCCUGGGGGAGUACGCACGCAAUGUGUGAAACUCAAAGGAAUUGACGGGGGACCCGCACAAGCAGCGGAGCAUGUGGUUUAAUUCGAAGCAACGCUGAAGAACCUUACCAGGACUUGACAUCCUUCUGACCGCUUCUUAAUCGAAGCUUUCCUUCGGGACGGAAGAGACAGGUGGUGCAUGGUUGUCGUCAGCUCGUGUCGUGAGAUGUUGGGUUAAGUCCCGCAACGAGCGCAACCCUUGUCAUUAGUUGCCAUCAUUAAGUUGGGCACUCUAGUGAGACUGCCGGGGAUAACUCGGAGGAAGGUGGGGAUGACGUCAAAUCAUCAUGCCCCUUAUGUUCUGGGCUACACACGUGCUACAAUGGUCGGUACAGAAAGCAGCAAUACCGUGAGGUGGAGCAAAUCUUGAAAACCGAUCCCAGUUCGGAUUGUAGGCUGCAACUCGCCUACAUGAAGUUGGAGUUGCUAGUAAUCGCAGAUCAGAAUGCUGCGGUGAAUGCGUUCCCGGGUCUUGUANACACCGCCCGUCACACCACGGAAGUUGGGGGUGCCCAAAGUUGGACCAGUAAAUAGUUACCUAAGCAACC
rnacentral:rRNA from 1 species